UUUUUCCUGCUCACAAGAUGAA
rnacentral:siRNA from 1 species